UGAACGCCGGCGGUGUGCCUAAUACAUGCAAGUCGAACGCGUUGGCCCAAUUGAUUGAUGGUGCUUGCACCUGAUUGAUUUUGGUCGCCAACGAGUGGCGGACGGGUGAGUAACACGUAGGUAACCUGCCCAGAAGCGGGGGACAACAUUUGGAAACAGAUGCUAAUACCGCAUAACAGCGUUGUUCGCAUGAACAACGCUUAAAAGAUGGCUUCUCGCUAUCACUUCUGGAUGGACCUGCGGUGCAUUAGCUUGUUGGUGGGGUAACGGCCUACCAAGGCGAUGAUGCAUAGCCGAGUUGAGAGACUGAUCGGCCACAAUGGGACUGAGACACGGCCCAUACUCCUACGGGAGGCAGCAGUAGGGAAUCUUCCACAAUGGGCGCAAGCCUGAUGGAGCAACACCGCGUGAGUGAAGAAGGGUUUCGGCUCGUAAAGCUCUGUUGUUAAAGAAGAACACGUAUGAGAGUAACUGUUCAUACGUUGACGGUAUUUAACCAGAAAGUCACGGCUAACUACGUGCCAGCAGCCGCGGUAAUACGUAGGUGGCAAGCGUUAUCCGGAUUUAUUGGGCGUAAAGAGAGUGCAGGCGGUUUUCUAAGUCUGAUGUGAAAGCCUUCGGCUUAACCGGAGAAGUGCAUCGGAAACUGGAUAACUUGAGUGCAGAAGAGGGUAGUGGAACUCCAUGUGUAGCGGUGGAAUGCGUAGAUAUAUGGAAGAACACCAGUGGCGAAGGCGGCUACCUGGUCUGCAACUGACGCUGAGACUCGAAAGCAUGGGUAGCGAACAGGAUUAGAUACCCUGGUAGUCCAUGCCGUAAACGAUGAGUGCUAGGUGUUGGAGGGUUUCCGCCCUUCAGUGCCGGAGCUAACGCAUUAAGCACUCCGCCUGGGGAGUACGACCGCAAGGUUGAAACUCAAAGGAAUUGACGGGGGCCCGCACAAGCGGUGGAGCAUGUGGUUUAAUUCGAAGCUACGCGAAGAACCUUACCAGGUCUUGACAUCUUGCGCCAACCCUAGAGAUAGGGCGUUUCCUUCGGGAACGCAAUGACAGGUGGUGCAUGGUCGUCGUCAGCUCGUGUCGUGAGAUGUUGGGUUAAGUCCCGCAACGAGCGCAACCCUUGUUACUAGUUGCCAGCAUUAAGUUGGGCACUCUAGUGAGACUGCCGGUGACAAACCGGAGGAAGGUGGGGACGACGUCAGAUCAUCAUGCCCCUUAUGACCUGGGCUACACACGUGCUACAAUGGACGGUACAACGAGUCGCGAACUCGCGAGGGCAAGCAAAUCUCUUAAAACCGUUCUCAGUUCGGACUG
rnacentral:rRNA from 2 species